AAAGCAGAAUGGGGUACGUGUGCUUUAAAUGUCAUAGGUCUUUAGGUCAUAACAUAAGAGCUUUUUUUAACCAUCUCAGAGUGGUGCAUCAUAUACUUUCUACUUCAACUUAUUUCCAGUGUGCUCAAGUUGGGUGCCAUCGCACUUUUGAUCAAAUAAGAUCAUUCAGACGACACAUAAUUGGGCAUGCUAUUGAGUUUGACAUUGAAACAGAAGAAAGUAGCACAGGUGAACUUCCUGACAGUUCAGUAGAUCCUCAUUUAAGUGUGCUAAAUGAGGUGGAAUGCUGUGAGACUACAGCAGAACAUUGGGAUGAGCUAGAGGAAGACAACAUAAAGGACAGAGUUGCACUCUUCUUAGCUAGGUUAAAGGCAACAUCCUCUCAGACAUUCAGUGGGAUUAGAGAUGUAGUUGAAAACACAUCAGGUCUUAUCAGAGAUGUAGUUGGUUGCUUAAAGAGAAAAACACUCUCUUUUUUAAGAGAGAUCGGUCACUCUGAGACUCCACAAGCAGAGGACCUCAUGGAGCAGUUCACCAAAGCAGCUGAACCAUUUCAAGGAUUUGAAUCAGAGUACAAGCAAAUGAAAUAUUUUACUCAGUCUGGGUUCUUCAUACAGCCAGAGGCAGUACCACUCCCUGGCUUUUCCUUUACACAAGAAAUUGAUCGAGAGUCAGGAAAUGUGAAACAAGUUGCAGUUCGGGACACUUUCCAGUAUGUUCCCUUGAAACCCAUGUUGAAGCUUGUUCUGGAAAGUCCAGGAACAAUAGAUAAGAUCUUUGAAUGGCGAAAUCUUGAAAAUGCUGCCUUAGAGGAUUUCAGAGAUGGCACAAUAUUUGAAACUAAUCCACUUUUCUCUAAAGAUUUCUCUAUUCCAUUGGUUCUUUACAGUGAUGAGUGUGAGAUGGUGAAUCCACUUGGCGCAAAAACAUCAGUCCACAAACUUGGUUUUAUCUAUUUCACAAUGAAAUGCUUGCCACAGGAAUACAUGUCUAGUUUAAAGUCUCACUUCUUGUUGGCAGUGUACAAAGCUGAUGAUGUAAAAACAUAUGGAAUGAACACAAUUUUAGAGCCAAUUGUGAAUGACAUUAAAGACAUGGAACUGAAUGGCUUUCAUGUUGAAACCACACGUUUUUCAGGCAUUGUUAAGGCUGGAGUGGCACAGGUCUGUGGUGAUAACCUUGGACUUAAUGGAAUACUUGGUUACACAGAAAGCUUUGCAGGCAAUAGCGUGUGUCGGUGGUGUCGAGUUCACAAGGAAGUGUUGAGGGUACAGACAGUUGAAGCUCCUUCAUCAAUACGUGACAAGGUUAACUACCACUCAGACUUGCUUCUACACAAACCAGCUGAAACUGGCAUCAAGAGAGAGUGCUCUCUUAACAAGUUGCAGUUCUACCAUGUGACUGACAAUGUUGCUCCUGAUGUCAUACAUGAUAUCCUCGAAGGGAUUGGUGGUUAUGAAAUUAAGCUUGUGCUCAAUGCAUUGAUUGAACAAAAAAUUGUCACUCUUGAUCAGCUGAACUACAGGUUGACAAGCUUUGACUAUGGAUUUUGUGAUGUCCACAACAAGCCAUCAACCAUCAAACCUCAGGACUUGAAAAAUCCUGAUACUGGACUUAGGCAAUCUGCUUCACAAACAUGGUGUCUGCUAAGACUGCUUCCCCUCAUGAUAGGGGAUUUGAUUCCAGAGGACAACAAAUAUUGGGAGUUGCUUCUUUUAUUGUUGAGCUGCAUGGAGUUUAUUUUUUCUCCUUCAUUAACAGAAGGAGCAGUAGUCUUUUUGGGGCACAUCAUUGAGGAGCACCAUUGUCUUUAUUUAGAGCUCUUCCCAGACAGACAUCUAAAACCCAAACACCACUUCAUGCUUCACUAUCCCAGAGCCAUACGGAAACUUGGGCCUGUUGUUCACUUCUGGUCAAUGCGCUUUGAGGCAAAACAUGGGUUUUUCAAAAGAGUGAGUCAUGUUACCUGCAACUUUCGAAAUAUCUGUAAAACCCAAGCCUACAGACAUCAAAUAAUGAUGUGUUACACUCUCCUGUCAGGCCAGAUGUUUUGCCAUGAGUUUGAAGUUGGGCCAGGAUAUACCAAACUCCUUGGUACAAUAGAGGAUUUUGAGAAGGUCAAAUCUGGGUUUGAAGGAGUUGCUGUUAUUACAGACGUUUAUCUGCCUUCUUGGAUUAAGUACAAGGGCACUAGCUACAGGACAGGAAUGACAUUAUUUAUGUCUCAUACAGAUGACUGCGAGCCUCAGUUUGGAACUAUUCAGAGCAUUGUGGUACUUCGUUCGAAUACUAAGCUCAUUUUAAAAAAGUGGGAAACAAUCGGCUUUGAAAGGCAUUUUUUUGCCUUCAAUGUUUCCCCUACCUCAGCGAUUGAAGCAGUGGACAUUGAUUCCAUUGCUGACUAUCACCCUCUCCAUGCUGUGAAAUCCUACAAGGAGAAUUGCAGUGACUUCUACAUUUCACUGAGGUACAGGCUAUUUUAAACCCAAAGGGUUUUAAGUACUGUCUUGAGCUUUGACCUGGUACUACCUCAUUUUUGUGACAAAUAAAUGUAAAUACAUUCAAAUCAUUAAAAUAUUUGAUUAAAAUCAAUAUAACUGUGGAGCUGCAUAUCAGCUUUAUCAUCAUCACUUUUGAUUCAAGCCCUAAACAAACGGAGUCUGUUUGUGCACCAGCUGACAAAUUGCAGCACGUGGCUCCUGUCCAGGGUGGAACAUCAUUUUCCACCCUCGGAAUCAAAGGCAUUGCUGGCAUCAUCAGUAGUGGAGCAGUUUCCAUGUCUAAAGGACAGUCUUGGCACAGGCUAUGAUGCGUGGUUCACCCCAGGAAGGAAACAUAGACCUGCAACAG